rnacentral:rRNA from 1 species
GAUUUCUGGUCUGGUGCGCCUGGCCCGCGGCAUUAGCUUGUGAGUGCCGGGUCGCGCCUGCCAUCCUUCUAGAAAACGUAUCUACCCUUCACUGGGCCGGAUCACGCGAUCUAGAUCUUUUACUUUGAAAAAAUUAGAGUGUUUAAAGCAGGCAUUUGCUAUGAAUACAUUAGCAUGGAAUAAUAAUUUAGGACUUCGGUUCUAUUUUGUUGGUUCUCGGGACCGAAGUAAUGAUUGAUAGGGAUAGUUGGGGGUGCUAGUAUUCAGCGGCCAGAGGUGAAAUUCUCGGAUUCGCUGAAGACUAACUUAUGCGAAAGCAUU